rnacentral:rRNA from 1 species
CCUACGGGUGGCAGCAGUGGGGAAUAUUGCACAAUGGGGGAAACCCUGAUGCAGCGACGCCGCGUGAGCGAUGAAGUAUCUCGGUAUGUAAAGCUCUUUCAGCAGGGAAGAAAAUGACGGUACCUGACUAAGUAUCCACGUCCAACUACGUGCCAGCAGCCGUGGUAAUACGGCGGGGGCAAGCGUUAUCCGGAUUUACUGGGUGUAAAGGGAGCGUAGACGGUUCUGCAAGCCAGAUGGGAAAGCCCGGGGCUCAACCCCGGGACUGCAUUUGGAACUGUAAGGCUAGAGUGUCGGAGAGGCAGGCGGAAUUCGUAGUGUAGCGGUGAAAUGCUUAGAUAUUAGGAGGAACACCAAUGGCGAAGGCAGCCUGCUGGACGAUGACUGACGUUGAGGCUCGAAAGCGUGGGGAGCAAACAGGAUUAGAUACCCGAGUAGUC